rnacentral:rRNA from 1 species
GACGAACGCUGGCGGCGUGCUUAACACAUGCAAGUCGAACGGAAAGGCCCUGCUUUUGUGGGGUGCUCGAGUGGCGAACGGGUGAGUAACACGUGAGUAACCUGCCCUUGACUUUGGGAUAACUUCAGGAAACUGGGGCUAAUACCGGAUAGGAGCUCCUGCUGCAUGGUGGGGGUUGGAAAGUUUCGGCGGUUGGGGAUGGACUCGCGGCUUAUCAGCUUGUUGGUGGGGUAGUGGCUUACCAAGGCUUUGACGGGUAGCCGGCAUGAGAGGGUGACCGGCGACAUUGGGACUGAGAUACGGCCCAGACUCCUACGGGAGGCAGCAGUGGGGAAUAUUGCACAAUGGGCGGAAGCCUGAUGCAGCAACGCCGCGUGCGGGAUGACGGCCUUCGGGUUGUAAACCGCUUUAGCCUGUGACGAAGCGUGAGUGACGGUAAUGGGUAAAGAAGCACCGGCUAACUACGUG